rnacentral:sRNA from 1 species
CUCAUGUGGGACAUGUACAUCCAUGCUUUUCUUUUUUUUUUUUUUCCGGGGCUGGGGACCGAACCCAGGACCUUGUACUUCCUAGGACUAUCAUGGAAACAUCAGGACCAUGCACCCUACUCGAGCGUGGUGUUACGCUGAGUUUUGAGACUCUAUUGGAGACUCCAGGGAUGUGAACCCUGAUGUCUGCAGUGCCUGGAGGUCUGAACUCCUGCUGUGGCACACAUGCGGGGACCAGAGGAUAACGUGUAGGAGUUCUCUCCUCCCACGUGUGAACUCAGAUCAUCAGGGUUAGCGGUCAGCACCUUUUCCUGCUGAGUCAUCUCACUGGUGCCAAAGGAUGUUUUGUCACUGCGCACCGUGGCCUAAUGUGAAUUGUCUUUAGAAAGAGGAUGCAAAAAUAUAUUGCAUUUUAGAAGAAAAUAGUCGCUUGCUCAAGACUUUGUUUUAAAGGGGGGAAACUUAGAGGCGUGGCAAGCAUUUUAAACCAAAAUAACUUUUUUGAACAUGUUGAAAGAAGAACAUACUCCCUGGGUGAAUUAAUGUCAUUCAGGACCACACAGAGCAAACUGAGAAACACUGAUCUAAGCUGCUCCCAACAGCUCUUUAACACACUGUCGUAUGUUUUAAUUAUGUCUUCCUCCUC